GGAAUAUUGGACAAUGGGCGCAAGCCUGAUCCAGCCAUGCCCCGUGUGAACGAAGAAGGCCUUCGGGUUGUAAAGUUCUUUCGCCAAAGAACAAGAGAUGUAGGUGAAUACCCUACAAAUUUGAUGGUACUUGGUAAAGAAGCACCGGCUAACUCCGUGCCAGCAGCCGCGGUAAUACGGAGGGUGCAAGCGUUAUCCGGAUUUACUGGGUUUAAAGGGUGCGUAGGCGGAUAGGUAAGUCAGUGGUGAAAUCUCCGAGCUUAACUCGGAAACUGCCGUUGAUACUAUUUAUCUUGAAUACCGUGGAGGUGAGCGGAAUAUGUCAUGUAGCGGUGAAAUGCUUAGAUAUGACAUAGAACACCGAUUGCGAAGGCAGCUCACUACGCGGUCAUUGACGCUGAGGCACGAAAGCGUGGGGAUCAAA
rnacentral:rRNA from 1 species